UAUUACAUAUAUACAAUAUAACACUUUUACAAUUAAUUCAAAACAUUAUCUAAUUAAGAUCCGAUGACAAAUCCACAUGGCAUUCUCCGUCUUUAGGUAUGACGUGGUCAACAAAUAAUCCCGCCAAUUCCUCUUGAAUUGCUCGUAUGCGAUCAUAUGGUAGGAGUUGAUCCCGCAUCUCGCAAAUCUAAUUUAAAGAAGGGGGUCAAUGCAUAUAUA
rnacentral:lncRNA from 1 species